UAGUAACGGCGAGUGAAGCGGCAACAGCUCAAAUUUGAAAUCUGGCGUCUUUGGCGUCCGAGUUGUAAUUUGCAGAGGGCGCUUUGGCAUUGGCAGCGGUCCAAGUUCCUUGGAACAGGACGUCACAGAGGGUGAGAAUCCCGUACGUGGUCGCUAGCCUUUACCGUGUAAAGCCCCUUCGACGAGUCGAGUUGUUUGGGAAUGCAGCUCUAAAUGGGAGGUAAAUUUCUUCUAAAGCUAAAUACUGGCCAGAGACCGAUAGCGCACAAGUAGAGUGAUCGAAAGAUGAAAAGCACUUUGGAAAGAGAGUUAAAAAGCACGUGAAAUUGUUGAAAGGGAAGCGCUUGCAGCCAGACUUGCCUGUAGUUGCUCAUCCGGGUUUUUACCCGGUGCACUCUUCUACGGGCAGGCCAGCAUCAGUUUGGGCGGUUGGAUAAAGGUCUCUGUCACGUACCUCCUCUCGGGGAGAUCUUAUAGGGGAGACGACAUGCAACCAGCCUGGACUGAGGUCCGCGCAUCUGCUAGGAUGCUGGCGUAAUGGCUGUAAGCGGCCCGUCUUGAAACACGGACCAAGGAGUCUAACAUCUAUGCGAG
rnacentral:rRNA from 1 species